AUGCAAUUACACAACAAUAUUCCAACUUUGCUUGACCGAUGUGUUUCUAUAUGCACAUAUGCACAUGCAACCAUAAACAUAUCAUGUGAUUGGCAUCUCACAUCUGCACCCAUAUUUUUUGUCCACAUAGUAUAUAAUAUUACAUUACAUGACAAAAACAUAUUACAUCAAAUUCAAAAUCACACUUAA